GAUGAACGCUGGCGGCGUGCCUAAUACAUGCAAGUCGAGCGAAUGGAUUAAGAGCUUGCUCUUAUGAAGUUAGCGGCGGACGGGUGAGUAACACGUGGGUAACCUGCCCAUAAGACUGGGAUAACUCCGGGAAACCGGGGCUAAUACCGGAUAACAUUUUGAACCGCAUGGUUCGAAAUUGAAAGGCGGCUUCGGCUGUCACUUACGGAUGGACCCGCGUCGCAUUAGCUAGAUGGUGAGGUAACGGCUCACAAAGGCAACGAUGCGUAGCCGACCUGAGAGGGUGAUCGGCCACACUGGGACUGAGACACGGCCCAGACUCCUACGGGAGGCAGCAGUAGGGAAUCUUCCGCAAUGGACGAAAGUCUGACGGAGCAACGCCGCGUGAGUGAUGAAGGCUUUCGGGUCGUAAAACUCUGUUGUUAGGGAAGAACAAGUGCUAGUUGGAUAAGCUGGCACCUUGACGGUACCUAACCAGAAAGCCACGGCUAACUACGUGCCAGCCGCCGCCGUAA
rnacentral:rRNA from 1 species